rnacentral:tRNA from 1 species
AUUAUUUUGGUGUAGGUGCAUAACUGAUUUCCAAUUAGAAGGAUAAAAUAAUA